rnacentral:lncRNA from 1 species
GAAUUUCGAGAAUUGACACUGGUAGUCAGUAUUGCGGGUAAAGAAUUGGCACAGGUAGCUGUAUUGUGGGAUUUUGAGAACUAACACUAGUAGUCAGUAUUGUGGGAAGAGAAUUGACACGGGUAGCCAUAUUGUGGGAAAUUUCUACAGUUACAACAAUUUUUCGUGAUGGCAUGGUUGAUAGUCUGCUUUCACAUUUUGGGCAGUGUCACGAAACGUCUUAAAGAGAGCGACCUGGUCAUGAC